rnacentral:rRNA from 1 species
ACUACGGGAGGCUGCAGUAGGGAAUCUUCCACAAUGGACGAAAGUCUGCUGGAGCAACGCCGCGUGAGUGAAGAAGGGUUUCGGCUCGUAAAGCUCUGUUGGUAGUGAAGAAAGAUAGAGGUAGUAACUGGCCUUUAUUUGACGGUAAUUACUUAGAAAGUCACGGCUAACUACGUGCCAGCAGCCGCGGUAAUACGUAGGUGGCAAGCGUUGUCCGGAUUUAUUGGGCGUAAAGCGAGUGCAGUCAGUUCAAUAAGUCUGAUGUGAAAGCCUUCGGCUCAACCGGAGAAUUGCAUCAGAAACUGUUGAACUUGAGUGCAGAAGAGGAGAGUGGAACUCCAUGUGUAGCGGUGGAAUGCGUAGAUAUAUGGAAGAACACCAGUGGCGAAGGCGGCUUACUGGACAGUAACUGACGUUGAGGCUCGAAAGCGUGGGGAGCAAACAGGAUUAGAUACCCGUGUAGUC